rnacentral:rRNA from 1 species
GUGGGAUUAGCUAGUUGGUGAGGUAAGGGCUCACCAAGGCGACGAUCCCUAGCUGGUCUGAGAGGAUGAUCAGCCACACUGGAACUGAGACACGGUCCAGACUCCUACGGGAGGCAGCAGUGGGGAAUAUUGCACAAUGGGCGCAAGCCUGAUGCAGCCAUGCCGCGUGUGUGAAGAAGGCCUUCGGGUUGUAAAGCACUUUCAGUCGUGAGGAAGGUGGUGUAGUUAAUAGCUGUAUCAUUUGACGUUAGCGACAGAAGAAGCACCGGCUAACUCCGUGCCAGCAGCCGCGGUAAUACGGAGGGUGCGAGCGUUAAUCGGAAUUACUGGGCGUAAAGCGCAUGCAGGUGGUUUGUUAAGUCAGAUGUGAAAGCCCGGGGCUCAACCUCGGAAUUGCAUUUGAAACUGGCAGACUAGAGUACUGUAGAGGGGGGUAGAAUUUCAGGUGUAGCGGUGAAAUGCGUAGAGAUCUGAAGGAAUACCGGUGGCGAAGGCGGCCCCCUGGACAGAUACUGACACUCAGAUGCGAAAGCGUGGGGAGCAAACAGGAUUAGAUACCCUGGUAGUCCACGCCGUAAACGAUGUCUACUUGGAGGUUGUGGCCUUGAGCCGUGGCUUUCGGAGCUAACGCGUUAAGUAGACCGCCUGGGGAGUACGGUCGCAAGAUUAAAACUCAAAUGAAUUGACGGGGGCCCGCACAAGCGGUGGAGCAUGUGGUUUAAUUCGAUGCAACGCGAAGAACCUUACCUACUCUUGACAUCCAGAGAACUUUCCAGAGAUGGAUUGGUGCCUUCGGGAACUCUGAGACAGGUGCUGCAUGGCUGUCGUCAGC